rnacentral:rRNA from 1 species
AACGAACGCUGGCGGCAUGCCUAACACAUGCAAGUCGAACGAGACCUUCGGGUCUAGUGGCGAACGGGUGCGUAACGCGUGGGAACCUGCCCUUAGGUUCGGAAUAACUCCCCGAAAGGGGUGCUAAUACCGGAUAAUGUCUUCGGACCAAAGAUUUAUCGCCUUUGGAUGGGCCCGCGUUGGAUUAGCUAGUUGGUAGGGUAAAAGCCUACCAAGGCGACGAUCCAUAGCUGGUCUGAGAGGAUGAUCAGCCACACUGGGACUGAGACACGGCCCAGACUCAUACGGGAGGCAGCAGUGGGGAAUAUUGGACAAUGGGCGAAAGCCUGAUCCAGCAAUGCCGCGUGAGUGAUGAAGGACUUAGGGUUGUAAAGCUCUUUUAACCGGGAUGAUAAUGACAGUACCGGGAGAAUAAGCGCCGGCUAACUCCGUG